ensembl:lncRNA
UUGGUCUACAUGUAGACAUGAAUUUAUUGGCGCACACAUAAAACUAUAGCAUCCUUCUCAAACUGUUUCGCGUGGACCUCUCAGAAAUGUUGCUUGCACAUUAUUGGUCAUUCUUGUAGCUCAUUUAUUCAUCUUAAAACAUUAUAUUACAUCAUACAGAUGGAAAAUACAUAUGAAGGAGUUGGACAGUACCUUCAAACGAAGAGCAAUGGGAGUAUAUUUAAUGAUAAGCCAAAUCCAGCAAUAUCUGCACUAUGACUUGCCAGAGGGAACACCUUUUUAGAUUAGCUGGGCCACUUCCCUCAAAUCACAUUUAACAGCUAGCUAUUCAUAUCUAUAUGGACCCCUAAACCCCCCCUCCCCACAAACCCCCUCUACUGAUAUUUAUAUUUAUAUAUAAUAAUUUAAUGCAAAAUGCAAUUUUUUUUUAAAAAAAACAUUCCAAGCCAUUUUCUUAAGUUUAUGUAUUCAUAACAAAUAAAAAUAUAUUAUACCAUCAAAAAGUGAAAUAUGGUGAAGCCAACUUUUACAUAAAAAAAGGAAGCUAGAAAAUAAUUGCGACAAUCAAGGAAUGAUAGGGGAGUUUUCUAUGCAAGUGUUUAUGUAUAAGUCAAAAAUAAAUUACCAAACAAAAGUAGGCAAAAGUUUACAUUCCUUCCCAUGCAAGUUAUAAAUUUCAAUGUGACUUGUAGCACAAAAUUCUGAUUUGUUAAUUACAGUUGCUUUCAUCCACAUCAGAUGAUUCAUUCCUCACAGGACCUGUAAACCACUACAGAUGUUGUUUUUCCAGAAACAUUCUUUUCACCUGCUAUUCAAGUCACUUCUUGUUGAUGAACUCACUCGUACGAUGGAAAACACUUGCAAGACACCCUCAGAAUAACUGAGCAGAUCUCCACUACUCUGGUUGUGUCCUUACAACUGAGCGCUACAGCGUGCUGGAUCAGACAGUUAAACACAGCAUGUGCAUGAAUUAGUCAGUACAUUAGUGUGGGGAAAAAAAAGGCAUUUAACCGUAUAUUUUUAAAAAAUGAUUCAUUGUAAUCUGCAAAUGUAUAAGACGGCAGUUCGAAGAGUUGAAGAACACAUGAAGCAUGAGUUUGGUUGACGUCAAAGCCACGGUGGCAUUUGACAGAUGUGAUACAGGCAGAGGAAGUGCACAUUUAACUUUUUAGACUCCCUUUAACAGCAUUAUAUUCUCAAGACAGCUAUUAGCAAGACACAAGGGAUCACUUUAAUAUAAUACACUGUCCAGAAACACGAGAUGCUGUCUGUGUUUAAUGGCAUGUUUAAGCAAUAUCUGAGGGUAAAACGUUUAAAGAUCAAUGCUAUCAGAAAAGAAUUCCAAAUCGUACUUGACUGUAAAAAGAU